CAGCGAGGAGGGAAAUGCGACAAGAAACGAGACAAAUGGCUGUACUAUACACAUAAAUAUGUACAUACAUAGUACAUACAUAUAUGUACAUCCAAUGGAUCUCUCUGUGUUCUCUGUCUGAUGGGAAAAUGCAAUUAUGGGCUUCGAAAUGGGGCACCGAAAGAGCUGCUCUCUACUAUCUAUCGAGUGACACAUCCCACAAAGCCAAAGGAUAACACUCAUCUUUAUG
rnacentral:lncRNA from 1 species